CUAGAAUCUCACAUGUUAAGAAGAUUGAACUCCAUCUGCACACAGGAAAAUGAACGCUGAGCUCAAGAAGAUAUCUCCUCUGUUUACCUUCAGAAAGAACAAGGCAAGGGUUUACUCUGAGUAUUAAAUGUGCAUUUUUAUAGGUUUA